GUGCUCGCUUUGGCAGCACAUACACUAAAAUUGGAAUACAGAUUACCAUGGCCCCUGUGCAAGGAUGACACACAAAUUUCAUGAAGCGUUCCAUAUUUUA
ensembl:snRNA U6 U6 spliceosomal RNA